CGUUCUUGAUAACGACGUGAAGAGGAUGUCUAUAACUCCUAAGCAGUCUUACAUGCGGGACACAUGGAGACUCUCGAAGAUGCCUUCGAGAAUCAGACCAUCAACAAGUCCAAGCCAAUCCCUCUGACCCCAGUGGAGCGCCUCUUAUUUAAAUGUUUUUGCAAUAUGUGUUUUGAGUUUUCAAGUUGACCCCCUUUUUUUUGCCUUAUUUUGUGUGUACUUUGGCUUUAUAAAACCUUUAAAUCGGUUCAGUUUAAGAAAUGUCAAACACAUCAUACGUUUUUUGUUCUUUUAUUUAAAUGUUUUCUUUCAAGUUGACCCCCUUUUUUUUUGCCUUAUUUUGUGUGUACUUUGGCUUUAUAAAACCUUUAAAUCGGUUCAGUUUAAGAAAUGUCAAACACAUCAUACGUUUUUUAUUCUUUUAUUUAAAUGUUUUCUUUCAAGUUGACCCCCUUUUUUUUUGCCUUAUUUUGUGUGUACUUUGGCUUUAUAAAACCUUUAAAUCGGUUCAGUUUAAGAAAUGUCAAACACAUCAUACGUUUUUUUU
rnacentral:lncRNA from 1 species